CAAGCUUUCUAUAUUGAUGCGGGUUAUGUUUGCUAUUUAGUAGUGGACUUGAAAUUAGUAGUGGACUUGAAAUUUGUAGUAUAUUUGAAGGACACUAGUUCAUUAACAUUUUAUUCGCAUUGACUUACACUUAAUACUAGUACAUUUACCGUACAAUAGUAGUUGUCCAGAUGUGUUUCCAGUUCCACGUUUGUUUAUGGUCAACAUAUAACAUUGUAUUACUAUUAUUUAUUAUAAUUAGAGUGCCACUAACCCGAAAUAUGAUUUCUGGUGUCAAAGGAAAAUGAAUUUGCAAUUCAUCUAUUGACAUCAUAUCCGGUAACUUCUACAGUGAAAAAAAUUGAUCAAGAUAAGCUUUUUUACCAUAAAGAUAUUUAUACAUUCCUUCAUAUAGAAUGACUCGAAUAUUACAGAAAAUCUUAUUUGGGGUUAGUGGCACUCUAAGGUAUAUAUGGUUUAUUAGAGAGCUUAAGCAAUUAAGCUACGUUUUUGACAACACGGACGUCACGCGUACAUAAUUUAAACGUUAACUGUGGCGCCAACAGUUCGUGUUUGAAAUGAAGAACGACAUGCAGUCAAUGCCAUGGAUUAUGUAUGUACAGAUGCUUAACUUCAGGAAAAAAGUUGUCCCACGGCAACCUCGUACCCAGGGCCUUUGCGCGGUUCAGAGGCUCUAUACCAGAGCCUCUGAAUCGCGCAAAGGCUCUGGGUAAUAAGUCGGUGUCGCUCGCGUGAUAAUUCGUCAUUUGGUAAUACGUCAUUGCUUUCAAAAAUGCUUUCAACACCUUUUCUGCAACUUUAAUUGACCAUUUGCGUAAUAGACUAAAUUUUGAUCUAAACAAGUCUAGACAACAAUUUCAUCACAGCUUGAAGUAGCAUCACAAAAUUAG